UACGGGGGGGGCAAGCGUUGUUCGGAAUUACUGGGCGUAAAGGGUUUGUAGGUGGCUUGUUAAGUCAGACGUGAAAUCCCUCAGCUUAACUGGGGAACUGCGUCUGAUACUGGCGAGCUUGAGUGCAGGAGAGGAACGCGGAAUUCCAGGUGUAGCGGUGAAAUGCGUAGAUAUCUGGAGGAACACCGGUGGCGAAGGCGGCGUUCUGGACUGGAACUGACACUGAGAAACGAAAGCCAGGGUAGCAAACGGG
rnacentral:rRNA from 1 species